rnacentral:snRNA from 1 species
GGAUGUGAGGGUGAUCUGGCUGUGACAUCUGUCACCCCAUUGAUCGCCAGGGUUGAUUCAGCUGAUCUGGCUGGCUAGGUGUGUGUCCCCUUCCUCACUCACCGCUCCAUGUGCGUCCCUCCCGAAGCUGCAUGCCUGGCAACCAUCCCCGAUAGAGGAGGACCAUUCUUCGGUCAAGGGUGUACGAGUAGCUGCUCUCCCCUGCUAGAACCUCCAAACAAGCUCUCAAAAAAGGGGGGAAAUACAGUUCAAGAUUAUUGGUGCUUAAUAAUAGAGAAACAUAU